rnacentral:rRNA from 1 species
UACGUAGGGGGCGAGCGUUGUUCGGAAUUACUGGGCGUAAAGGGCGUGUAGGCGGUGCGGUAAGUCGGGCGUGAAAUCCCCGGGCUUAACCCGGGGCGGUCGUUCGAAACUGCCGUGCUAGAGUGCAGGAGAGGGAAGUGGAAUUCCCGGUGUAGCGGUGAAAUGCGUAGAUAUCUGGAGGAACACCGGUGGCGAAGGCGGCGUUCUGGACUGCAACUGACACUGAGGAACGAAAGCCAGGGGAGCAAACGGG